rnacentral:rRNA from 1 species
AGAGUUUGAUCCUGGCUCAGGACGAACGCUGGCGGCGUGCCUAACACAUGCAAGUCGAACGAAGCUUGACGAAUGAUUUCUUCGGAAUGAAAUCUGAUAUGACUGAGUGGCGGACGGGUGAGUAACGCGUGAGCAACCUGCCCUUCGGAACGGGAUAGUGUCUGGAAACGGACAGUAAUACCGUAUAACGUAUUUUUACCGCAUGAUAGAAAUACCAAAACUGAGGUGCCGAAGGAUGGGCUCGCGUCUGAUUAGAUAGUUGGUGGGGUAACGGCCUACCAAGUCGACGAUCAGUAGCCGGACUGAGAGGUUGAACGGCCACAUUGGGACUGAGACACGGCCCAGACUCCUACGGGAGGCAGCAGUGGGGAAUAUUGCACAAUGGGGGAAACCCUGAUGCAGCGACGCCGCGUGAAGGAAGAAGUAUCUCGGUAUGUAAACUUCUAUCAGCAGGGAAGAUAGUGACGGUACCUGACUAAGAAGCCCCGGCUAACUACGUGCCAGCAGCCGCGGUAAUACGUAGGGGGCAAGCGUUAUCCGGAUUUACUGGGUGUAAAGGGAGCGUAGACGGUGUGGCAAGUCUGAUGUUGAAAGGCAUGGGCUCAACCUGUGGACUGCAUUGGAAACUGUCAUACUUGAGUGCCGGAGGGGUAAGCGGAAUUCCUAGUGUAGCGGUGAAAAUGCGUAGAUUUUUAGGAAGGAACCACCAGUGGCGAAGGCGGCUUUACCGGACCGGUACUGACGUUGAGGUUCAAAAGCCGUGGGGGAGAAACAGGAAUACAUACCCUGGAAGCCCCCCCCCUAAACCAAAAAAAUAAUGGGUCGGGGGCAAAGUCAUUCGGGGCUGUCUCAUACCGAAUAAGAAUUCACCCGGGGGAGACUUACUCCACAAAUUAAACCCCAACGAAACAGCUGGGGCCCCCACACUCGGUG